rnacentral:rRNA from 1 species
CCUACGGGAGGCAGCAGUGGGGAAUCUUGCACAAUGGAGGAAACUCUGAUGCAGCGAUGCCGCGUGAGUGAAGAAGGCCUUUGGGUUGUAAAGCUCUUUUGUAGGGGAAGAUAAUGACUGUACCCUAAGAAUAAGGUCCGGCUAACUUCGUGCCAGCAGCCGCGGUAAUACGAAGGGACCUAGCGUAGUUCGGAAUUACUGGGCGUAAAGCGCGCGUAGGCCGUUGAGUUAGUUAAUUGUGAAAUCCCAAAGCUUAACUUUGGAACUGCAAUUAAAACUGCUCGACUAGAGUUUGAUAGAGGAAAGCGGAAUACAUAGUGUAGAGGUGAAAUUCGUAGAUAUUAUGUAGAACACCAGUUGCGAAGGCGGCUUUCUGGAUCAACACUGACGCUGAGGCGCGAAAGUAUGGGUAGCAAAGAGGAUUAGAUACCCUCGUAGUCCAUACCAUAAACGAUGAUUGNUAGAUGUUAGUAAGUUUAAUUUUACUAGUAUACGUCAGCUAACGUACAUAAGUACAACUACCGCCGUCGGGUAGGUACGACCGACCGAACGGUUAAAACGUAACGAAAGUAGAAGUUAAGUACGGUACGUUGAGUACGUUGCGAACGGACGACGACGAGGGAGGAGG